rnacentral:lncRNA from 1 species
CUUUGAAGAGGAGUUUGCAAACUGUAAUUAUCAUUCAUCAGAAAUAGAAAAUGGAAAAGUCCUUGAGAUCACUGGCAAUUCUAAUCAUCCUUUUUGCUGUUGUAUCAGGUUUUUACAUUAAAUUUUUUCUUUUUACCUAAAGUAGAGUUUUGUUAGAUCUAAUAUGUUCUUAUCCUCAAUUUCUUUUACAUAGUUAUAAUGGAGAUUGGAAUCCAAUAAACCAACAAGUGGUCGGGAGGCAGCCGAAUUUUAAAUCAUAUACAGUCAAAUAUUUCUAUAACAGUCAUUCUUUAUAACAACAUUUUAUUAUAGUAGCCAAAAAAUAUAGGAUCAAAUGAUAUUAUUAUACGGUUCAAAUUGUAACCUCUGACCACUAGAUGCAUGUCUAUAAUUUUCAUUAAGUCGCUUAGAAACUACCAUUUGUUAAAACUAACACAUUAAUCAUUUGUUCGUGUGGCGAUUCUUAUAUAUCGGCUAAUUCACAAAAUGACUAAACUUUUUUUUAUUUUAUAUUUUUCUCCAUUUUUGACAUUCAAAGAUGAGAAACUUAUUUUAAUUUUGUGGAUGCAGAUGUCUAUGGAAUCAAGACAUGCAGAGUUGAUAUAGGAUUUGAAAUAUGCACAAUAGGACUAAGAGAUGGAUGCUUUCGAAAAUGUGUGGAAGGAACAGGACGUGCAGUUAUUGAAGGAACUUGUAUAAUUAAUGAACGUGGUGUACGAACCUGCAAAUGUGUAUUUUAUUGUGCUUCAAAACCCACUAUACCUAUUUCUAUCCCUUAGUUUGUUUUUUGUUUUUUUUAAAAAAAAUUAAGUUCCAUCAGAAGUAGUGUUUGUCAUAGUUGUAGUUCUAUAAUCAGUUGCGAUAAAAUAUCAAAAAUAUUGAGCAUCUAAUGUUUUCAUUCAAAGAGUUAUCUUUCUCGAAUU